GGGGAAGCACUUUGUGGUUAGUAGGGAGCAGCAUCUGACAAUGCGAACCUUGUCAUUUAAGGGACCUGGCAGCAUACUUUAAAAGGAAAUAAUUCGGAAGAAGCAUUAGACGUUAAAACAUUGUGGGCUCACACAACCAUUGCCCAAACCUACACAACUUUGUAAGAGAUCUGGGGUUCAGGAAGGGGUGUGUGUUGGUUGUUUCCAUUUUGAUCAGAGGUUGCAUUUCUAUAUCAGCAACUCAAAUACCACACAGAAGAGACAGUGAGCAGCUGAUGAGGGUAACAGCAAACAAUUCCAUGCAGCAUCUGAAAAUCAGUUUUAAAACUAUAUAGAGUCCCAUUCUGAAACUACGGUGCUCAGCACCGCACAAACACAGGACAAGGUGAGGAGCAGAGAUACCAGGAUGCAAUGACCAGGAGCUGGGUCUCACUAUUUGAGUCAAAAAUGUGGACAGUGUCAUCAUUAAGAGUGAGCAAGCUGCAGGGAUUUAAAUGAGAUAAGACUUUAUCAGGUCUAUUUUCCAGUAAUUAAGGUUCAGGCACACUGGCUCCAAUCCAAAGCAGCGAUGUCAGAAAGGAGGGCAGUGUCCAUGGGGUGCAACUGGAGACCUAAUACCCCUAGGAUGAAUGAACUCUGUCAUUGCAUAAUGUGUGCUCUGAAGAACCAAUAAUGAUCCCAGACUAACCCUUAUGUCCUUCCCAUUUCUGCAGUGGGUCCACACGUUUUGUGAGUCUGAGCCACAGCACAGAUAUAACAACCCUGCUUCAGGUUCCUGAAAGCUCCAAGCUUAUUGUACAUGAUAGAUUUACCAGACUUAAUCCUAGGUAUUAAACACUUUUUAACACACCAUCUUAACUCUGCUAAACAUGGAAAUAUGUGGUUGCACUCCAUUUGAACAAGUCUGAACUGAGUACAACAAAAGACUGAAUUUUACUUAUCUUAGUGGCCUCAGCAUUUCUGUAUGGACAUGCCAGGAGGUCAUGAAAUAUCGAGAAUCCAAUAACAUCAAGGAAGCACACUCAUAUUGGAAAAAAAGAAAAAAGUCUGGAAGAGAAUAUAACCUCUCACUGAAAUAAUGCUCUACUCCCACACAGUCAAAUUACUUCGAUUCAUACUACAACGUCAAAAAGCUAUUUGCAUGCAACAUUUAUCAACCAUUUCUCCUCUCACUAAACAGACUAAUGGUAUUGUGCCUCUCAGAGCAGAGUCCUAAAAAACAACCAACCAGCCAACAAACAAA